rnacentral:rRNA from 1 species
UACGUAGGGGCAAGCGUUGUCCGGAGUUACUGGGCGUAAAGAGCUCGUAGGUGGUUUGGUAAGUCGGGUGUGAAACCUCCAGGCUCAACCUGGAGACGCCACUCGAUACUGCCAUGGCUAGAGUCCGGUAGGGGACCAUGGAAUUCCAGGUGUAGCGGUGAAAUGCGCAGAUAUCUGGAGGAACACCAGUAGCGAAGGCGGUGGUCUGGCCGGUACUGACACUGAGGAGCGAAGCGUGGGAGCGAACGAGG